UCUGCAUUUGAAACUCUUGGCCAAAACGAUCGAGCGGAACGAUCGGCCAACUUGCCGACCCUGCUCCGGUCGGAAAAGGCAAAGCGCCAACGCAACCGACGUCGCGUUCGUGACUUACCGACCGGAUCGAGAUCGGUCGAAGGAUAUUCGACUUGCCACCAUUUAUCGCACGGUGCGACACAAACACGUCACUUUCCUGACCAAACACGUCGACGUUGUA
rnacentral:lncRNA from 1 species